CCUACGGGGGGCAGCAGUCGAGAAUCAUUCACAAUGGGGGAAACCCUGAUGGUGCGACGCCGCGUGGGGGAAUGAAGGUCUUCGGAUUGUAAACCCCUGUCAUGUGGGAGCAAAUUAAAAAGAUAGUACCACACGAGGAAGAGACGGCUAACUCUGUGCCAGCAGCCGCGGUAAUACAGAGGUCUUAAGCGUUGUUCGGAAUCACUGGGCGUAAAGCGUGCGUAGGCUGUUUCGUAAGUCGUGUGUGAAAGGCGCGGGCUCAACCCGCGGACGGCACAUGAUACUGCGAGACUAGAGUAAUGGAGGGGGAACCGGAAUUCUCGGUGUAGCAGUGAAAUGCGUAGAUAUCGAGAGGAACACUCGUGGCGAAGGCGGGUUCCUGGACAUUAACUGACGCUGAGGCACGAAGGCCAGGGGAGCGAAAGGGAUUAGAUACCCGGGUAGUC
rnacentral:rRNA from 1 species